GCUUGCUCAUCCAAGACUCCUGCUCCUUUCUCCUGUCCUGGAAGGAGGGAGCUUGUCCAGAACUAACUGCCCUGGGUACUGUACUGCCUUGGACAUGCUUACAGAAGAUCACUGGUGACUGAGUAAAGCUUCCUCCUCUUUAGGGUCUGUGCACAGGAUUCGAUCAGUUAGACCUCCCUUGCUGCUGCACCUAACCAUCUGGUCUUGAACACCAUCAUGGCCAAACCUUACGAAUUUAACUGGCAGAAGGAGGUACCCUCUUUCUUGCAAGAAGGAGCAGUUUUUGACAGAUAUGAAGAGGAAUCUUUCGUGUUUGAGCCCAACUGCCUCUUCAAAGUGGAUGAAUUCGGCUUCUUCCUGACCUGGAAGAGUGAAGGCAAGGAAGGACAAGUGCUAGAAUGUUCCCUCAUCAACAGCAUUCGGCUGGCAGCCAUACCAAA
rnacentral:lncRNA from 1 species